AAGAGAGAGAGAAGAAAGGGAGGAAAGAGAGUGGAAAGAAAAGGGAGGAAGGAAGGACAAGACUGCUGGAGACUGCUGGAAAAGGAGAAGGGAAAAAGGAGAAAGGGCAAUCCCACAACCCCUGCACCACUCCAUCACCACCCCAAGCCCUUUCUUGAGAUAAAUGAGGGCCUAGAUAGUAGAUCUUGUGGAAAUUUUUUAUUGGCUCCUUCCUCCAAACUACACCCAAUAAGAAUAAACAUGUUCAAAAGUUUGCCCUGUUCAUAAACCCUUAUUCAAAACCCCUGAGUGGCUUUUAUCUUCUCUUGAGAAGUCUUAGGGUGACAAGCCAAAUUAAAAACUCACUAAAAAUUUCCUUUAACUAUGCACCUGAAAGGCUGUCACUCUGGAUAUUCAGUUCUGCCAUGGAGGAGGCUCCCUUUGAGGAGACGGCCUGUCAAGCAUGAUUGUGCUGGGGGAAUGGAGACAAGAGGUGUGCAGAGCAGGAAAUGUACAUUAAACAUACCUGCACAUAUGUUAUCUUUCUACUUCCUUUACAAAAAUGCUCUGAUAGACAAUAAUGUCCCCAGGUUACUAAUGUCACAAACCUCUUGAACAUGAGAGAAACUGUACCAUUCUUUAAAUAUGGCCUUUUGGAAGAGAAGAUGAAAGAGGAUUCGGAAUCGAAGUCUGGACUCAAUAAAAAGAAAAGUCCAGAAAAGUCCAGAACCAUGACUUUUGCCUUGAGAACUCCCAAACGUGGACCAAGACACAACACGAUCACCAGGCCUGCACUCCCACGGCGGCCCCACCAGCCUGCAGUUGGACCGAGUUAAGGAACACUGAAGCCCGCCCUGGAACGGUGGUGUCCAACCCAGACUGCCACGGUGAUCCGCCGAAAACAAGCACGUGCCUUAGGAAAAAUUCCAGUGCAAAGCAAGAUUAAGCACGUUAAAUUCAUCACCUACAGUACAGCAUAAAAUCUUUUUGAUCAACCUGUUUAACUCUACAAUUGUAUUUUAUUCUAACUAUGUGAGAGAAAGAGUAAAGUUACCAAGAUUUCACCUUUUCUAGUAAAAGAUAACCGAGAAGCAUGUUGAGAAGUCAGUUCUAUCCAAAGAACUGGUUCCUCUGGACUACAACAUACUGACUGCAAAUACCUCUUUUCUUCCAGAAUAGUCUGAAUUAUCAAAUUUUAUUGGAAAGAAUAGGUAUGGAUACAUCUGUCAUAAUAAAUAAAUAUGAAAUGCUCAUCAUUUUUCAAAGGUGUCUCUUAGGUGAUAUCUAUCCCAAAGGAUAAUUAGGAUGUGACUUCUGAAAUUUUGCAUAAAUAAAAAUGAUAUCAUUUUGUUGAAAAAAAAAAACAAAAAACUAAAAACUUCAUGGAAAACCCACUCACUGGCAUUCCUUUGAAACAUACAUACAGAGAUCUGUAUAGUGUUUUUCCUUGCCUAUGGAAGUUCAUUAUGCAUGAGAGGGAUUCCACGUGCAAUAACUGAA